rnacentral:rRNA from 1 species
GACAGAGGGUGCAAACGUUGUUCGGAAUUACUGGGCGUAAAGCGCGUGUAGGCGGCUAUGCAAGUCGGAUGUGAAAGCCCUCGGCUCAACCGGGGAAGUGCACCCGAAACUGCAAAGCUAGAGUCUCGGAGAGGAUCGUGGAAUUCUCGGUGUAGAGGUGAAAUUCGUAGAUAUCGAGAGGAACACCGGUGGCGAAGGCGGCGAUCCGGACGAUGACUGACGCUGAGACGCGAAAGCGUGGGGAGCGAACAGG